rnacentral:rRNA from 1 species
CCGUAGGUGAACCUGCGGAAGGAUCU